AACCUUAUGGACCUGCGGGCGUAUACCUGCGGAAGGAUCAUUACAAGUGACCCCGGUCUAACCACCGGGAUGUUCAUAACCCUUUGUUGUCCGACUCUGUUGCCUCCGGGGCGACCCUGCCUUCGGGCGGGGGCUCCGGGUGGACACUUCAAACUCUUGCGUAACUUUGCAGUCUGAGUAAAUUUAAUUAAUAAAUUAAAACUUUUAGCAACGGAUCU
rnacentral:misc_RNA from 1 species